AGUGAACGCUGGCGGUAGGCCUAACACAUGCAAGUCGAACGGCAGCACAGUAAGAGCUUGCUCUUACGGGUGGCGAGUGGCGGACGGGUGAGGAAUACAUCGGAAUCUACUUUUUCGUGGGGGAUAACGUAGGGAAACUUACGCUAAUACCGCAUACGACCUACGGGUGAAAGCAGGGGAUCUUCGGACCUUGCGCGAUUGAAUGAGCCGAUGUCGGAUUAGCUAGUUGGCGGGGUAAAGGCCCACCAAGGCGACGAUCCGUAGCUGGUCUGAGAGGAUGAUCAGCCACACUGGAACUGAGACACGGUCCAGACUCCUACGGGAGGCAGCAGUGGGGAAUAUUGGACAAUGGGCGCAAGCCUGAUCCAGCCAUACCGCGUGGGUGAAGAAGGCCUUCGGGCUGUAAAGCCCUUUUGUUGGGAAAGAAAAGCAGCAGGUUAAUACCCCGCUGUUCUGACGGUACCCAAAGAAUAAGCACCGGCUAACUUCGU
rnacentral:rRNA from 1 species